AGGGAAAGGUGAAAAGAACCCCGGGAGGGGAGUGAAAGAGAACUUGAAACCCUAUGUUUACAAGCAGAUAGAGCGAUUUAAGGCGCGAUAUCGUACUUUUUGUAGAACGGUCCAGCGAGUUAUUGUAUAUGGCAAGGUUAAGUACUAAGUAAGGUACGGAGCCGAAGUGAAAGCGAGCCUGAACAGGGCGAAUUAAGUCAUAUGUAAUAGACCCGAAACCGGGUGACCUAUCCAUGGUCAGGAUGAAGCUAGAGUAAAAUCUAGUGGAGGUCCGAACUCAUAAGCGUUAAAAAGCUUCGGGAUGAACUGUGGAUAGCGGAGAAAUUCCAAUCGAACUCGGAGAUAGCUGGUUCUCCUCGAAAUAGCUUUAGGGCUAGCCUUGUGUAGUAGUAUAUGGGGGUAGAGCACUGACUGAGGUAGGGGCCUAACCAGGUUACCAAACUCUAUCAAACUCCGAAUACCGUAUAUGUAAGCACAGGAGUCAGACUGCGGGAGCUAAGUUCCGUGGUCAAAAGGGAAAGAGCCCAGAUCGUCAAUUAAGGUCCCAAAGAUAUAGCUAAGUGGCAAACGAUGUGAUUUUGCGUAAACAACCAGGAUGUUGGCUUAGAAGCAGCCAUACAUUUAAAGAGUGCGUAAUAGCUCACUGGUCGAGUGAAGUUGCGCGGAAAAUUACCGGGGCUAAGCUAUACACCGAAAUUGCGGAUUUACACUUGAAAGAUAGUGUAAGUGGUAGAGGAGCAUUCUGUAGUAGGGAGAAGCAAAAGCGAGAGCAUUUGUGGACGAGGCAGAAGAGAGAAUGCUGGAAUAAGUAGCGAGAGCAAGGUGAGAAUCCUUGCCGUCGAAAGUCUAAGGUUUCCUGGGGAAGGUUCGUCCGCCCAGGGUAAGUCGGGACCUAAGGUGAGGCUGAAAAGCGUAGCCGAUGGAUAGCAGGUUGAGAUUCCUGCACUAUAGAUAUACUUAAAAGAUGCAAGGGACGCAGGAGUGGAAGAUAAGCGAGGAAGAGGAAAGACUCGUAUCGCAAGAUAUAGUGAAAAUAAAGUAACGAAUUAUCAAGAAGCACACUGACGAGAAAAGCUUGUAGAUAUUGUAUAUAAAUACCCGUACCGCAAACCGACACAGGUAGAUGAGGAGAGGAUCCUAAGACGAGCGGGAGAAGCAUUGUUAAGGAACUCGGCAAAUUGACCCCGUAACUUAGGGAGAAGGGGUGCCAAGGUAGAACUUGGCCGCAGUGAAGAGGUUCAAGCAACUGUUUAACAAAAACACAGGUUUCUGCUAAAUCGAAAGAUGAAGUAUAGGAGCUGACGCCUGCCCAGUGCUGGAAGGUCAAAGGGAAGUGUUAGUAAAAACUUACGAAGCACAGAACUCAAGCCCCAGUGAACGGCGGCCGUAACUAUAACGGUCCUAAGGUAGCGAAAUUCCUUGUCAGGUAAGUUCUGACCCGCACGAAAGGCGUAAUGAUUUGAACACUGUCUCGACAAUGUACCCGGCGAAAUUGUAGUACUAGUGAAGAUGCUAGUUACCUGCGACAAGACAGAAAGACCCCAUGGAGCUUUACUGCAGCUUGAUACUGGGUUUUGGUAAUUUAUGUACAGGAUAGGUGGGAUACGAAGAAGCAAGUGCGCCAGCAUUUGUGGAGUAGACGUUGGGAUACCACUCUUAAAUUAUUGAAAUUCUAACCUGUGAUCAUGAACUGGUCAGGGGACAAUGUCAGGCGGGCAGUUUGACUGGGGCGGUCGCCUCCUAAAGAGUAACGGAGGCGCCCAAAGGUUUCCUCAGCACGGACAGAAAUCGUGCAAAAGAGUGUAAAGGCAGAAGGAAGCUUAACUGGGAGACUGACAAGUCGAGCAGAUACGAAAGUAGGGCUUAGUGAUCCGGCGGUAGUGAGUGGAAAUGCCGUCGCUCAACGGACAAAAGUUACCCUGGGGAUAACAGGCUUAUCUCCCCCAAGAGUUCACAUC
rnacentral:rRNA from 1 species